rnacentral:rRNA from 1 species
GCCCGGGAAUUACGAGCCCAAGCUUAAAACCCAAAGGACUUGACGGUGUCCCACCCACCUAGAGGAGCCUGUUCUAUAAUCGACACUCCCCGAUCAACCCCACCAUCUCUUGAAUAACCAGCCUGUAUACCUCCGUCGCAAGCUUACCAUGUGAACGUAUCCAGUGAGCCUAAAGAUUAAAAACCCAAACGUCAGGUCAAGGUGCAGCCAACGAGAUGGAAAGUAAUGGGCUACAAUCUCUACUCUAGAACAUACAGAAAACUGCAUGAAAUACAGUAAUUGAAGGCGGAUUUAGAAGUAAAAAGAAAAUAGAGCGUUCUUUUUAAUAAGGCACUGGGACGCGUACACACCGCCCGUCACCCUCUUUAACCCACUCCUAUGUAAACACAUACCCUAUAGAAGAGGCAAGUCGUAACAUGGUAAGCGUACUGGAAAGUGUGCUUGGAUUAACAAAAUGUAGCUUAAUAAAAAGCAUCUUGCUUACACCAAGAACAUGUUAGUUACACCACUAAUCAUUUUGAGCCUAAAACCAAGCCCUAACCAACUAAAUAAGAAACCCCCUACUAAUAAAAAGACAAUAAAACAUUUUACUGGCUAAGUAAAGGCGAUUAAAAAGCACUUAGGAG